rnacentral:rRNA from 1 species
AUUGAACGCUGGCGGCAUGCCUUACACAUGCAAGUCGAACGGUAACAGGUUAAGCUGACGAGUGGCGAACGGGUGAGUAAUGUAUCGGAACGUGCCCAGUCGUGGGGGAUAACUGCUCGAAAGAGCAGCUAAUACCGCAUACGACCUGAGGGUGAAAGCGGGGGAUCGCAAGACCUCGCGCGAUUGGAGCGGCCGAUAUCAGAUUAGGUAGUUGGUGGGGUAAAGGCCUACCAAGCCUACGAUCUGUAGCUGGUCUGAGGGGACGACCAGCCACACUGGGACUGAGACACGGCCCAGACUCCUACGGGAGGCAGCAGUGGGGAAUUUUGGACAAUGGACGCAAGUCUGAUCCAGCCAUGCCGCGUGCGGGAAGAAGGCCUUCGGGUUGUAAACCGCUUUUGUCAGGGAAGAAAAGGUUCUGGUCAAUACCUGGGACUCAUGACGGUACCUGAAGAAUAAGCACCGGCUAACUACGUGCCAGCAGCCGCCGUAACAC